UCCACGAACUCCGAGAUUCUGUCAACAAUCCCGACAAUCCCGACAAUCCGCCGUCAGGGAAGCUCUGGAACAUGGCGAGUCCAAAUGCUGAGAGCUCACUGUGCCUCGGCACACGGCGGCUUGCAUCCCUUCCCUUCUUCUGUACUCGCUGCUCGGCAGAACUGCUUUGCGAAUGAAGCCGAGAGUUAUCACAAGCCAAACGGGCAAUCCUCCUGUCAUCCACAACCAGCAAUCUGCCUGUGCCUUACAAAAAGGAAAAACUAACAACUAAUCCUGGCUAUCAAUGCAAAUGGAAUGAAAUCCCACGACUACAUCUCCAAGACUGAACAACUUGCUUGCUUUAUAAAACCUAAUGUCACAAGCAACUGUGGCACUAAAAUAGGAGCCUGAGCAGCUCCGGAAACCCUGACACUCUGCUCUUCCUGGAGCUACACUGCUUCCAAGUCAUGAUGUUAUUCGUGCCUGGCUUAGUUAACUCCUACAAGCAGGAAAAUUCUCAAAAAUACAAGUUUUCAAUCUCUGAAGAUAAUGUAACUCACUGAACAGUAUUUCCUCCCCUAUAACAUGAACAGCACAGCAAUCUUGCUGCUCACUCAAACCUGGCUUGAAAAAAAUAUGGUUUUUAAUUUCUAUCCUCCUCAGAGUUCUUUAAAUCUAGUAGUUGUAGUUUAACGUAAAUGCUUGCAUGUCAACAUUCAAAAUGAGUGAGUCACCACUUAACCAGUUACAACACAAAAACUUAAAAAUGCAUUUGCCUAGAACAUUUAAUUUUUACAGUAAAGGGGAAAAUUCAGAUUGAGUUGCAUUCCAGAAAGAAGCCAAACAAUUCACCAGCAGUGUUCUCUGUAACUGUUUUUACUUUAGGGCCUGAUAAGAACACAUUAAAAAAGAUAAACCUCAAAUAAUUUCAGAAAGUACCAUACAAAAUCAAGGGGAAAAGAAACGAACUAGAGGAAGGGUUGUUUGGGUUUUUUUUAAUCAUUAUUACUUAAAUGACUAUUAUUAAAUUACAGUUAUCUAGGAAAUUAAAUUACUGCUGAGUAUCCGUUGACAUGGCAGCCUUAUACUAACAAAAACAUUGCAGAAACCAGUAUUUUAGAAACUGAAAAAUUAAAAAACACAGAUUUGGAUAACAAAAUUAAGUAUCAUCUUUCCUCUGACUUUUCUUAUUAUAAUUAAACUUCUCUGCAUAAACCAACUUUUUCCCACAAUACAUUCUGACUUCUUAUGAGGGUAUAUUUAAAAUAAAGCCUACACUUUAUGAUCUACUCGAUUUAAAUUUCUCCUGAUGCUCAGUGAAAUUUAGUUUUGUGUCAUCUUCCUCAUACACAGUGUCUCAUAUAAUUUUUUUGGAUUUUUUGUAGUGUGUCAUUUUACUUCAAGGCUCUAUUCAGUAGUGAAAGCAUUGAAAUACAGAGAAACAGUGCUUAAAACCUGCAGCAUCACAACCAUUGAUUAUUCUCAAUAACUGCACUUAAUUGCGCAGAUUGGUAUAAUGUUAAUACAAAUAAAAUCUAUCAGCAUUUUAUUGUCUCCUCUCUUACAGAAGAAGAAUUAAAUGAAAACAAUUUGAAAAAUACUGCUUGUUAAAAUUAAACCCUGGUAAGAGAAAUGAGAGAAAUGUUUCAUUCUCCAAAAUUAUCUCUCUACCUGGCUGAUGCUACUAAAUAUUAAACAUGUAGCGUAAGCUUUAUUACUGCCUCGAAUUACUGUAAUAAAUUUCAUGAAAAUUGCA